rnacentral:rRNA from 1 species
AGAGCGAACGCUGGCGGCAGGCCUAACACAUGCAAGUCGAGCGGCCGUAGCAAUACGGCAGCGGCAGACGGGAGAGUAACACGUGGGAACGCGCCCUUCGGUUCGGAAUAACUCAGGGAAACUUGGGCUAAUACCGGAUACGCCCUUACGGGGAAAGAUUUAUUGCCGAAGGAACGGCCCGCGUCCGAUUAGCUUGUUGGUGAGGUAACGGCUCACCAAGGCGACGAUCGGUAGCUGGUCUGAGAGGAUGACCAGCCUCACUGGGACUGAGACACGGCCCAGACUCCUACGGGAGGCAGCAGUGGGGAAUAUUGGACAAUGGGCGCAAGCCUGAUCCAGCCAUGCCGUGUGGGUGAUGAAGGCCCUAGGGUUGUAAAGCCCUUUCGGCGGGAAGAUAAUGACGGUACCCGCAGAAGAAGCCCCGGCUAACUUCGUGCCAGCAGCCGC